rnacentral:rRNA from 1 species
GACAGAGGGUGCAAACGUUGUUCGGAAUUACUGGGCGUAAAGCGCGUGUAGGCUGCUUCGAAAGUCGGAUGUGAAAGCCCUGGGCUCAACCUAGGAAGUGCAUUCGAAACUUCGAAGCUGGAGCCUGGAGAGGAAGGCGGAAGUUCUCGGUGUAGAGGUGAAAUUCGUAGAUAUCGAGAGGAACGACCGGUGGCGAAGGCGGCCUUAGCUGGGACCAGUC